rnacentral:rRNA from 1 species
GAAUAUUGGACAAUGGGCGAAAGCCUGAUCCAGCGACGCCGCGUGUGUGAAGAAGGCCUGCGGGUUGUAAAGCACUCAUAGUGGGGAUGAAAAGCCUAGGGCUAAUACCUCUGGGUCUGGACCUAACCCACAGAAAAAGCACCGACUAACGCUGUCCCUGCAGCCGCGGUAAUACAGAGGGUGCGAGCGUUAAUCGGAAUUACUGGGCGUAAAGCGUGCGUAGACGGUUGCGUAAGUCAGAUGUGAAAGCCCCGGGCUCAACCUGGGAAUUGCAUUUGAGACUGCGUGGCUAGAGUACGGAAGAGGGAAGCGGAAUUUCGGGUGUAGCGGUGAAAUGCGUAGAUAUCCGAAGGAACAUCAGUGGCGAAAGCGGCUUCCUGGUCCAGUACUGACGUUGAGGCACGAAAGCGUGGGGAGCAAACAGG